CACAGUACCGUGAGGGAAAGGUGAAAAGCACCCCGAUUAGGGUAGUGAAACAGUACCUGAAACCGAAUGCCUACAAGCAGUUGGAGGGUCCUUGUGACCUGACAGCGUACCUCUUGCAUAAUGGGUCAGUGACUUAAUGUACCGAGCAAGCUUAAGCCGAUAGGUGUAGGCGCAGCGAAAGCGAGUCUGAAUAGGGCGACUGAGUUCGAUGCAUU
rnacentral:ncRNA from 1 species